rnacentral:rRNA from 1 species
CCUACGGGAGGCAGCAGUGAGGAAUAUUGGUCAAUGGACGAGAGUCUGAACCAGCCAAGUAGCGUGAAGGAUGACUGCCCUAUGGGUUGUAAACUUCUUUUAUAUGGGAAUAAAAUGUUCCACGUGUGGGAUUUUGUAUGUACCAUAUGAAUAAGGAUCGGCUAACUCCGUGCCAGCAGCCGCGGUAAUACGGAGGAUCCGAGCGUUAUCCGGAUUUAUUGGGUUUAAAGGGAGCGUAGGUAGAUUGUUAAGUCAGUUGUGAAAGUUUGCGGCUCAACCGUAAAAUUGCAGUUGAAACUGGCAGUCUUGAGUACAGUAGAGGUGGGCGGAAUGCGUGGUGUAGCGGUGAAAUGCUUAGAUAUCACGAAGAACUCCGAUUGCGAAGGCAGUUCACUGGACUGCAACUGACACUGAGGCUCGAAAGUGUGGGUAUCAAACAGGAUUAGAUACCCCGGUAGUC